rnacentral:rRNA from 1 species
AGAGUUUGAUCCUGGCUCAGAAUCAACGCUGGCGGCGUGCCUAACACAUGCAAGUCGAACGAGAAAGUGGUAGCAAUAUCAUGAGUAAAGUGGCGCACGGGUGAGUAACACGUGACUAACCUACCCUGGAGUGGGGGAUAACUGAGGGAAACCUUAGCUAAUACCGCAUAAUACCCACGGGUCAAAGGAGCAAUUCGCUCUGGGAGGGGGUCGCGGCCGAUUAGUUAGUUGACGGGGUAACGGCCCACCAAGACGAUGAUCGGUAUCCGGCCUGAGAGGGCGCACGGACACACUGGAACUGAAACACGGUCCAGACUCCUACGGGAGGCAGCAGUGGGGAAUUUUGCGCAAUGGGGGAAACCCUGACGCAGCAACGCCGCGUGGAGGAUGAAGUCCCUUGGGACGUAAACUCCUUUCGAUCGGGACGAUUAUGACGGUACCGGAAGAAGAAGCCC